GUAUGUUUUGAGCUCCGCCUACAUAACAGGCAAUCUUUUCCCUAAGGCAAUGCAUAAAACCAAGAGCACAACAGAGAUGGAUACAAGGAGACAGAAGAUGGAUGGGAAGGGGUCCAGGGAACCGAGGGUGAGCAGGGAAGCGGAGAGGAAGGGGACAUAAGGAGAGUACAGAGAUGCUCAGGAGAAUGGGUAGGUACGUGGCCAGAUGUUCCUGCUGUGUAUCCUUUGUCUUUGGAAGUACGAGCCGGGGAAGAUAAAGCAGUAGUCAGUUUUAACACCUGCAGCA
rnacentral:lncRNA from 1 species